rnacentral:rRNA from 1 species
GAGGGGCGGUGGCGUCGGGCGGGGACGCGGGCAGGGAGGUGGCAAGGUCCGGCGCCGCGGCGGGGGAGGGGCGCCGGGAGGGCCGGUGGCGCCGGGAGGGCCGGUGGCGCCGCACGGGGCGCCGGGAGGGGCGGUGGCGUCGGGCGGGGAGGUGGCUCGGUCCGGUGCCGCAGCGGGGGAAGGGCGCCGUAGCCAUAGCCAGCCCGCGCAGAGCCAGGUCUACGUAUGUAUCCGACCGCCUCCCGUAGCAAAAGGAGGCCUAAGGGAAGGGUGGCCCGACGAAGUAGUGGUCUAGGCAGCAGGUGACUGGGGUAGGAGAUAUGUAUGCCAGACUACUCAACCAAAACGAACACAACACUCCUCCGUACAACACCAAUUGUAGCUCAGUCCCACGGAUGGAAACAUAAACUUAGACACUCUAGACCUGGCAGUUGGCGGUACUGGUACUAGUUGCGCAGGAGCCGGAGGGUCUGCUCCUACCUUACUCGUCCCGUUCUCUUCUCCUCCCUCGUCCGGCUGCGGGCUGCCGCUGGACUGGUAGGAGGACCUAGAGUGACCGUUGGGGGACCGGACCUCCGGCGGGCGGGCGGGCGGCAGUCACGCCCCGGACGCCGUGGUGAAGGAGCACGAGGAGGAAUUGUAGGUCCUGGUCCUGCUGGUGGCCCUGGAGGUACUGCUACUGCUUCGGGGCGUGUACCAGCUCGAGCUACCUUGUUAUCACGGAGCCACACCACGUCGGCUCAACCCGGUUGCUGAUGCAAUACCAGGAGCAAUACCAGCUCAAAAACAAAACUGGAACACUUUGAACGAUGGAUACCUACUUUGACACAUUAUAACUACUUUGAUACAUAUACAUGCCUACUUUGAACGAUGAUAACCAUUGUACACAACCUAUGUAUACACAAGUACUGAUAACCAUUAUACACAACUUAUACGAUAUAACCAG